UACGUAGGUGGCAAGCGUUGUCCGGAUUUAUUGGGUUUAAAGGGUGCGUAGGCGGCCCUGUAAGUCAGUGCUGAAAUAUCCCGGCUUAACCGGGAGGGUGGCAUUGAUACUGCGGGGCUAGAGUACAGAUGAGGUAGGCGGAAUUGACGGUGUAGCGGUGGAAUGCGUAGAGAUCGGGAAGAACAUCGGUGGCGAAGGCGGCCUGCUGGGCUGUUGCUGACGCUGAGGCGCGACAGCGUGGGGAGCAAACAGG
rnacentral:rRNA from 1 species